AACGGCCGCGGUAUUUUGACCGUGCAAAGGUAGCGUAAUCACCUGUCUUUUAAAUAAAGACCUGUAUGAAUGGCAAGACGAGGGUUUUACUGUCUCCUCCCCCCAGUCAAUGAAAUUGAUCUACCCGUGCAGAAGCGGGUAUAAAAACAUAAGACGAGAAGACCCUAUGGAGCUUUAGGCAUAUAUCAAAUAUGUAAAAAACCAAAUUUUUCCAAAUAGGCCUAAAAAAUGAGAAAAACAAGUAUUAAUGAUUAAGUGCCUUCGGUUGGGGCGACCACGGGGAAAAAUAAAACCCCCACAUGGAAUGGGAAAAAUAACCCUAAGCCAAGAAAAACACUUCUAAGCAACAAAAUUUUUGACCAAUAAACGACCCAGGGACACCAUCCCUGAGCAAUGAACCAAGUUACCCUAGGGAUAACAGCGCAAUCCUUUCCCAGAGCCCAUAUCAACGAAAGGGUUUACGACCUCGAUGUUGGAUCAGGGCAUCCUAACGGUGCAGCCGCUGUUAAGGGUUCG
rnacentral:rRNA from 1 species